UACGGGGGAGCAAGCGUUGUUCGGAUUUACUGGGCGUAAAGGGCGCGUAGGCGGCCACCGCAAGUCGACUGUGAAAUCUCCGGGCUUAACUCGGAACGGUCAAGUGAUACUGUCGGACUAGAGUACAGAAGGGGCAACUGGAAUUCUCGGUGUAGCGGUGAAAUGCGUAGAUAUCGAGAGGAACACCUGCGGCGAAGGCGGGUUGCUGGGCUGAUACUGACGCUGAGGCGCGAAAGCCAGGGGAGCGAACGGG
rnacentral:rRNA from 1 species